rnacentral:rRNA from 1 species
UACGAAGGGGACUAGCGUUGUUCGGAAUUACUGGGCGUAAAGCGUGCGUAGGCGGUUCGUUAAGUUCGUUGUGAAAGCCCCGGGCUCAACCUGGGAAUGGCAAUGGAAACUGGCGGGCUGGAGUAUGGCAGAGGGGGGUGGAAUUCCGCGUGUAGCAGUGAAAUGCGUAGAGAUGCGGAGGAACACCGAUGGCGAAGGCAGCCCCCUGGGCCAAUACUGACGCUCAGGCACGAAAGCGUGGGGAGCAAACAGG